GCACAAGCGGUGGAGCAUGUGGUUUAAUUCGACGCAACGCGAAGAACCUUACCUGGGCUUGACAUGUUCCUGACAGCCGUGGAAACACGGUCUCCCUUCGGGGCAGGAUCACAGGUGGUGCAUGGCUGUCGUCAGCCCGUGUCGUGAGAUGUUGGGUUAAGUCCCGCAACGAGCGCAACCCCCGUCGCAUGUUGCCAGCAUUUAGUUGGGGACUCAUGCGAGACCGCCGGUGACAAACCGGAGGAAGGUGGGGAUGACGUCAAGUCAUCAUGCCCCUUAUGUCCAGGGCUACACACGUGCUACAUUGGCGCGUACAGAGGGUUGCGAUACCGCGAGGUGGAGCGAAUCCCUUAAAGCGCGUCUCGGUUCGGAUUGCAGGCUGAAACCCGCCUGCAUGAAGGCGGAGUUGCUAGUAAUCGCGGAUCAGCACUGCCGCGGUGAAUACGUUCCCGGGC
rnacentral:rRNA from 1 species